rnacentral:rRNA from 1 species
UUUAAAUUGAGAGUUUGAUCCUGGCUCAGGACGAACGCUGGCGGCGUGCCUAACACAUGCAAGUCGAGCGAUGAAACUUUCUUCGGGAAGUGGAUUAGCGGCGGACGGGUGAGUAACACGUGGGUAACCUGCCUCAAAGAGUGGGAUAGCCUCCCGAAAGGGAGAUUAAUACCGCAUAACAUUAUUUUAUGGCAUCAUAAAAUAAUCAAAGGAGCAAUCCGCUUUGAGAU